rnacentral:miRNA from 1 species
CUACAAAGGGAAGCCCUUUCUGU